rnacentral:sRNA from 1 species
AACAGGCACCGCUGCGGGGACUGGAGUCGGCGGAGAAAACCGGGGUCCCCAGCGCUGGGGCCCGCGGCGCCAUGGCUCACGUCGGCUCCCGCAAGCGCUCGAGGAGUCGCAGCCGGUCCCGGGGACGGGGGUCGGAAAAGAGAAAGAAGAAGAGCAGGAAGGACGCCUCGAGGAACUGCUCGGCCUCCACAUCCCAAGGUCGCAAGGCCAGCACGGCCCCUGGGGCGGAGGGUGAGGACCACAGGCAUCGGGGAGAGGAGGCGCAGUUACUCCCCGGGGAAGUCGGGCGAGCAGUGGUCGGGGACGCUCAGUCAUGCCUCUGUGCAGCCGGGCCUGAGAUGUGAGGGCCAGGCGCCGCAGGAGCCAGGAAGGGGCUCCUCUGGGAAGCUCCAUCUCUGUUCUGGAAAGCUCCUCAGGAAGCGCUCACCCUGUAGACGGUCUGUGCCUGCCCCAGGCCAGAGCAGGGGACGAAGGUUUACCUCUUCCCCUCCUGGCCUUCCAGCCUCACCUUCUCCCUGCAUCACAGAGAGAAGCAAGCAGAAGGCCCGGAGGAGACCAAGAUCCAGCUCCUCCUCCUCUUCUUCCAGUUCUCCUAGCUCCUCUUCUUCCUCCUCGUCCUCCUCCUCUUCCUCCAGUGAUGGCCGGAAGAAGCGGGGGAAGUAUAAGGACAAGAGGAGGAAGAAGAAGAAGAAGAGGAAGAAGCUGAAGAAGAAGAGCAAGGAGAAGGCGGAAGCACAGCAGGUGGAGGCUCUGCCGGGCCCCUCGCUGGACCAGUGGCACCGAUCAGCUGGGGAGGAAGAGGAUGGCCCAGGUAUUGUGCUGCCCAGCACCUGGGAGGGAGAAGGUCGCUUCCCAAGGCCUGGCCACCACCUCCGUCUUCCCUUCCAGUCCUGACGGAUGAGCAGAAGUCCCGAAUCCAGGCCAUGAAGCCCAUGACCAAGGAGGAGUGGGAUGCCCGGCAGAGCAUCAUCCGCAAGGUGGUGGACCCCGAGACGGGGCGCACCAGGCUUAUUAAGGGAGAUGGCGAGGUCCUAGAGGAAAUCGUAACCAAAGAACGACACAGAGAGAUCAACAAGGUGGGUGUGGCCCCUCUGCCUGCCAUCUGCCCCCAGCUCUGUUUGUGAUGUACCCCUCCUCCUGUGUGCUUUCUUCCCCAGCAAGCCACCCGAGGGGACGGCCUGGCCUUCCAGAUGCGAGCUGGGUUGCUUCCCUGAGGGCCCCCGCUGGCCAAGGCCUGUGGACGGCGCUGGCGGCCCAGCCUGGGCAGGUUUCAGGGUGCCAGUGGGAAGCCUGAUGGGUGCUGGUGGCCUUUCCCCCAUGGAUUGGUCUCUGGCCCAGCCCAGUCUCUUCUUAGGGGCAGGGGGUGGAGGUUGGGGUCACCGGCCUGCUUGGCACCCCCAUCUGAAAGAGCAGCACUUCUCAGCUAUUAAAGGCCCCCUGGAUAGAC